UCAGUCGACUCCUACGGGGAGGCAGCAGUGGGGAAUAUUGCACAAUGGGGGAAACCCUGAUGCAGCCAUGCCGCGUGUGUGAAGAAGGCCUUCGGGUUGUAAAGCACUUUCAGUAGGGAGGAAGGUAGUGUAGUUAAUAGCUGCGGUAUUUGACGUUAGCUGCAGAAGAAGCACCGGCUAACUCCGUGCCAGCAGCCGCGGUAAUACGGAGGGUGCGAGCGUUAAUCGGAAUUACUGGGCGUAAAGCGCAUGCAGGUGGUUUGUUAAGUCAGAUGUGAAAGCCCGGGGCUCAACCUCGGAAUUGCAUUUGAAACUGGCAGACUAGAGUAUUGUAGAGGGGGGUAGGAAUUUCAGGUGUAGCGGUGAAAUGCGUAGAGAUCUGAAGGAAUACCGGUGGCGAAGGCGGCCCCCUGGACAGAUACUGACACUCAGAUGCGAAAGCGUGGGGAGCAAACAGGAUUAGAUACCCUGGUAG
rnacentral:rRNA from 1 species